rnacentral:rRNA from 1 species
UACGUAGGGGGCAAGCGUUGUCCGGAUUUAUUGGGCGUAAAGAGCGUGUAGGCGGCCAGGUAGGUCUGCUGUGAAAACUCGAGGCUUAACCUCGAGAUGUCGGCGGAAACCAUCUGGCUAGAGUCCGGAAGAGGAGAGUGGAAUUCCAGGUGUAGCGGUGAAAUGCGUAGAUAUCUGGAAGAACACCAGUGGCGAAGGCGGUCAACUGGCCCAUAACUGACGCUCAGGCACGAAAGCGUGGGGAGCAAACAGG